rnacentral:rRNA from 1 species
GAUAAACGCUGGCGGCGCACAUAAGACAUGCAAGUCGAACGGACUUAACUUCAUUCUUUACGAUUGAAGAGCGGUUAGUGGCGGACUGGUGAGUAACACGUAAGCAACCUGCCUAUCAGAGGGGAAUAACAGCGAGAAAUCGUUGCUAAUACCGCAUAAGCUGAUAGUAUCGCAUGAUACAGUCAGAAAAGGAGCAAUCCGCUGAUAGAUGGGCUUGCGUCUGAUUAGCUAGUUGGUGGGGUAACGGCCUACCAAGGUGACGAUCAGUAGCCGAGCUGAGAGGCUCAACGGCCACAUUGGGACUGAGAUACGGCCCAGACUCCUACGGGAGGCAGCAGUCGGGAAUACUGCGCAAUGGAGGAAACUCUGACGCAGUGACGCCGCGUAUAGGAAGAAGGUUUUCGGAUUGUAAACUAUUGUCAUUAGGGAAGAAAAAAGACUGUACCUAAGGAGGAAGCCCCGGCUAACUAUGUGCCAGCCGCCGCUGUAACAC